rnacentral:rRNA from 1 species
UACGUAGGGGGCAAGCGUUGUCCGGAUUUAUUGGGUUUAAAGGGUGCGUAGGCGGCCGAUUAAGUCUGGGGUGAAAGCCCACUGCUCAACAGUGGAACUGCCCUGGAAACUGGUUGGCUUGAGUACAGACGAGGGUGGCGGAAUGGAUACUGUAGCGGUGAAAUGCAUAGAUAGUAGCCAGAACACCGAUUGCGAAGGCAGCUGCCUGGACUGUAACUGACGCUGAGGCACGAAAGCGUGGGGAGCGAACAGG